CCAGUUUAUUAUAUGGUCGCAUGGAAACAUGAGGAAAGUCCGAGCAUCACAGAGCAGGAUAGCUGCUAACGGCAGCCGGAGGCGACUCUAGGGCAGAGUGCAACAGAGAUAUACCGCCCGGAUUUAUCCGGGUAAGGGUGGAAAGGCGAGGUAAGAGCUCACCGGCGGACGGGAGACCGUCCGGCCAUGUAAACCCUAUCCGAUGCAACACCGGUUGGUGCGGGAAAUACACGCUUGCUCGGCGUCUCCCGUUGAAAGGUGGCUUGAUCGUAUUGGCGACAAUACGGCUAGAUAGAUGACCAUACACGACAGAACUCGGCUUAACGAUAAACUGGCAUA
rnacentral:RNase_P_RNA from 1 species